rnacentral:rRNA from 1 species
GUCGUAACAAGGUCUCCGUUGGUGAACCAGCGGAGGGAUCAUUACCGAGUUUUCAACUCCCAAACCCUUAUGUGAACCUACCUAUCGUUGCUUCGGCGGACUCGCCCCAGCCGGACGCGGACUGGACCAGCGGCCGCCGGGGACCAUCAAACUCUUGUAUUAUCAGCAUCUUCUGAAUACGCCGCAAGGCAAAACAAAUAAAUUAAAACUUUCAACAACGGAUCUCUUGGCUCUGGCAUCGAUGAAGAACGCAGCGAAAUGCGAUAAGUAAUGUGAAUUGCAGAAUCCAGUGAAUCAUCGAAUCUUUGAACGCACAUUGCGCCCGCCAGCAUUCUGGCGGGCAUGCCUGUUCGAGCGUCAUUUCAACCCUCGACCUCCCUUUGGGGAAGUCGGCGUUGGGGACCGGCAGCACACCGCCGGCCCUGAAAUGGAGUGGCGGCCCGUCCGCGGCGACCUCUGCGUAGUAAACCAACUCGCACCGGAACCCCGACGUGGCCACGCCGUAAAACACCCAACUUCUGAACGUGACCUCGAAUCAGGUAGGACUACCCGCUGAACUUAAGCAUAUCA